CCGGCGGGCGCUCCCGGCGCGUCCCCGCGGGGCGGGGCGGGAACGAGCCGGAUUCCAAUCACUGCGGGCCGGGCGCGCGCGCGGCGGGGGCGCGCGGGGAGGCGGGAGCGCGCCCGUCCGUCAGCACGUGCCGGGGGCGGGAGCGCUGGAGCGGCUCCGCGGCGAGGGAAAGUUGGCCGGGAGGAGCCGGCCGGGCUCGCUCUGCCUCCCCCGCUGCCCCGCCGCGGCCCCGCCGCCUGAGCGGGCCUGUCUCCGAGCGCCCGGGCCCGGGCGUUAUCCCGCCCCGCCGCCCAGCAGGGCUCUCCCGGGGAAGCAGCUCCUGUAGGGAAGGGCGGGAAGGUGUGAGAGCAGGACGCGGCCAGGUCGCUGUCACAGAAGCGCCGCUGGCCGAGAAGGGGGAUCGGGGCACGGGAAGAAGCCGCGGCUGGAUUUGGCUGCAGGGCCGGGGAGCUCCAUCCAGAUGCUGGUGGAGUUGGCGCCAUGGAAAACGGGGCAGCUGCCAGGAUUCACGGAAGAACUUCUGAACAGAGAGCAGCUUCUGGGACUGCUUAGGAGAUCAAUGAAGGCUCCAACAACCACUAGCCUUAUAAGUCUAUAAAAGGUGCAAAAUGUGGUUUGUAAUUUCUGAGAAAGAUGAUCCCCACCUGUCCCAUGUCACAGUGCUUCUUGAAGUCUGCAUUAGAAAGAAAUGUCUACUGAACCCACUUAGUUGAAGCCUCCACAGUCAUCACCUGCUCAAACAGCGUACAAAUUUCAUGUUUUUGAGUUACAUCCAGGAUCUUGGACUGAAAACUACGAGUCUGGUCAUGAGUAUUCCUUCAGUACCAGUGGCCAAUACCGGGGCGAUACAUAACGACAGGAAUCUGCAAUCAGGAUGAGGAGGAUGUUCUGUUAUUCCACUUACUGUACUCUGUCCCAGUCAUCUGGGCGAGGAUGCGGAAGGACUUGGACUGCAGGUUGGCGGAGCGGCGGCUCCAGUCCUCGCUCUCAUCCUCGGGCUUGUUCUGAGUUUUCAGCACAGCCUGAUACACCGGGGAGGCACUGUCUACGUGAGGGUCUUUGAGAGGGAGGGUACUGCAAUUCAGAAAGCGAAACCUUGUGAAACGGCACAUGGUGGCUUUCCUCCCAACCCCUCUGGUCUCAGUUUAUCACCCAGAGUAACAGCAAUCCACAUCAUGGCUUUGAAAUUACCACUUCUUAAAAAAAUACGUUGAUCAAUUUUAUGUUAUGGCUUGUUCUAUCUUUAGAAUGGCCUGUUAUCAUCAAAUCUGCACAUUCAAAACAGCAUGAAAAUGCUUGGAAAUAUCUGUUUAUGAUUCCUCAGCCAAGGAAGCCACAAGUUUACAGUGGUUAGAAUAACGUGUGGGGAUAAAGGCGAGUAUGCCAGGCAAAACCAUUUAUUUCUCUGAGAAUUCCUGUCCCCUAUUAUUUCUUAUAAAAAUUACUUCAUGUAGAUACUGCUUUAUGCUACUUCUUUAAAUUACAGUGUUGGGCCAAUGCGCUUUGAGAUUGUACUUAGAAAUAAAAACCAUAUUUCAUUAUAAAAAUAAUGUGGUAGGCUUUUAUAGCUCUUUCUAGAGAUGAUUCUUUGUCAAACUGAAUUAAACUUCCAUCUGCCAUAAGUCUAGAUUCAUUGUCUACUAAACCUGUGAAGCAAAGAAGUCUAGACGUACUCAAGACUUGCAUACAUAUGCUGUAUCUGAAAUCUUUAGUAACAGAAUGUAUCUGAGUCUUACAACAUGUCUACUCAUCUUGCAAACUGAUAUGUCCAGGAGAAAACUUUCAAUUGUGCACACCUAAAAUCAAAGCUACAAAAGUCUGUAGCACAAGUGAAGUAACCUCUCUUUGAUUUAUGAUGCAAGCUAGAAACAGGCUUAGUAACUUAAUAGUGCCUUUUUUUCCCCCUGUGAAAAUAACUUCUGCAUAGCACACAGUUAAAAUUAACUAUUAACAGAGCUGCAGGAAUAUACACUGAGGGGAUGAUGUAUGCUUGGAGUAACUUGGCUCCAUGGCUUCUCUAAAUACAAGGUCUAUUUUUGAAGCAAGUGAUUUAUUGUAACAGCUUUAACUUGUUAUUCCAUAAAGAGCUUUGCAAGCAGCAAGCUCAACUUCAGGAAAACUGAGAAACGGUUCUGUUAAAAGUUAAGGGCCAUUUGGUCCAACUAAGUCACUGCCAUAAAGUUCCAGGAGCAGCCCCCUGCUAUAAAAGUUUCUUCCUUGGUUCAGGCUCAAACUUAGUGUUCUCUAAGACACCAUUGUGCAGAGAAAAUCUACAGAGAAGCUGAGUCUGUGAUUUGAAGACCUGAGAGAAAUCAUGAAAAAGCCAAGAACCAUGUCUGACAUCCUACACACAGCAAUAACGUACACUGUGAUGAAAAAUAUUACCAGGUAGUGCUUUAAAUAUCAGUAUUUUCCAGCUGACACACUCCUCUUCAUCAAUACACGGUUUUGAUGGAUCUGGACAUAAUAGCAUGGGACGUGUUCUUCAGGUCAGACCACAAGUGGCUCACAAACAUGGUCAGUGUUUAUAUGGACCCAAAAGCACCCUGUCUCUCUAGGAGUUUUCAGGUUUUAUUGAAGGAGUAUUUAUGUUCUUCAUAACCCCCAAUAUAUGCAAACUUAUCACUUUCUUGAGGACCCAGCACAGCACAAACCUCAGUAAGUUUUUUUUUUGCAUGUUUCAGCACAAUCAUCUAUGUGAUGGAGCACAGCUUGGAAAAAAGGUGAACUUAGAAAAAACCCUGACUCUUCAGUUUAAGCUCUGCCACAAAACAUAUAAGUUAUGUAAAAAAUGUUUCUCAGUGUGGAAGAUGCCCUGUAGGAAGAAGCAGCAUUUUCCAGCUCCUCUUUUAGCUUGUGUUUCCAGACCACUAUCCUUACAAUAUCUAAACACUAGCAGGUACAGAAGGCAUAAUGUAGACUUGUUUAUUUUGGGGAGGGUGUGCCAUCAGUUGCUUGCACUAGUGUUGCUCCUAGUGGAAGAUGGGAGAGCAGUAGUCUUCCUCUUCUGGCCCAUCACAUAUGGCUGAAGGGUUUGCUGAGGCAGGGCAGAAAGUGUGGGAGCAGGAAUGGUCUUUGCAUGGAAAAGCUUCUCUGUAAUACCAACAGUAAGUCAGCAACCCACUCGGGACUGUUCUGCUGCUGCCUCUGACACUUGGCUGUGCUGAAAAGUUCUGUCACUGUAAAGGGUCUUGUUAAUGUUCCCCAAAAGAUGACCCCAGAGGCAUUUGAGGGUGCUGAGCACCCAGUACCUUGCCCUGUAUGACUGCUAUAGCUGACUGCCUGAGUUGGGCCAACAGUUAACUUUAUAUUCCCAGACUGACUUUUUAAUCUUGCUGAAGCUUAAAAACCUGCUGUUUUUAGCAGUGUGAUAGCACAUUUCCCAGCUGCAUACUGUUGCAAAGUGGAUAAUAAACCUUUGCUGACUUUGACCAUAGACCACUGUGGCAAAGCACCAUGCAAGUUACAGACAGUACAAAUUCCUUUGACUAAAUCCUCUUGCUGAAAUGCUUUGUUCUUGUAUUAUGACCAAUAUACAAAAAAAGCAGUUUAAAGGUUUAUGUAUAAUUAUGCUAUUAACUCAAGGUUAGUUAAAAAACUAGAGCCAAAGGCUGGACCACAAAUUUCACAGUAGCAAUGUGUGGCAUUAACAGGACAUAUUAAUAUCCUUAUGGUAGAUGAUUAAGGCAGGAAAUGGAGCUUGGUGAAUUAAACUUCCCUAGCAGAGUGAAACAUGCUCAUAUAAAUUGAACUAAAUUAAUGUAAUACAUUGGAAUAUUUCCAAAUCUGCCUUUAAUUCAACAGGCCUUUUUCUUUUUUUAAAAUCAUAAUUACAUUGUAGAUGAGUAACUAGGACAUAUGAGCCACUCAGCAUGGAAGUGCAAAAUAGAGCGCAUUGCUGAUUAGGAGCAUUUCAUAAACCUAAAUGUGACAGUUGAUUCUUACAGACAGCCUAAAGAUGCACAUAACCACGUUAAUACCUCUGUUAUACCUCUUUGUAAUUUAAUUUCUUUCCAUCUGGGUGUGGAUGUGCAGAAAUAUUAUUCAUCUUUAAGCAUAUUACUCUAAAUAGAUGUUACUGAAAAAAAAUUCUUCCCAAAUGGGUUAGAGCUUUCGUGGGUUUUCACACUACCGCCUGAGGUAUUUUAGUAGGAGUCAAUAAGGAAUGAUACUCCUUUUUCACAUCAUCAUACUAGUCACACAUUAUUGACAUUAAAACAAACUUUAAAGACAGUCAAACUUCUUUGAGUAAGUAACAGUGGGAUUAUUAUUUUUUGGACUCCAUUAUAAACUACAGUUUACCACAUGAAUGGUACCCUGGAGUCAUUAACCAGGUUUAAUUUAAAUAGAUAAUGAGUAAAACUUAGGAACACUGCAGUGUUCUACCCCUGGUGUAGACAUACCAUGAAAUAUUGUGACUUCAGAUAUUAGACUGAUUCCAGCUAUUCAAUAAAAGGGCUAAGAGGUAAAAAUCCCCACAACCCAAUAAAAAACCAAAAGUUCAUGUAGACUGGUAAAUAUCUACCCAAGUUGACUUACUGUAGAGAAUACAUGAGACUUUAGUUUCUACCCAAUCACAUUAUUGAUUCUGCUACUUUAACUUUUCAGUUCUUAGUCUGGAUAAAGAUGUUGGAUUUAUGUCUACUUAUGACUUGUGAAUUUGGCUAAAACUGCAUAACAGAAUUUAGAAGAGGUUUGACAGAAAUGUAAUCAAAAUGUACUAACCACGUGGUUUUACUGCAACCAACUCUUGCUUCUUGGUUUAACAAAAUCAAUUAAAACAAAAAACAACAUAGAAAGAGAAGAAAAGAUAAGAAGCCAUGGCAUUCAAAAUUCUCUGCCUUUCAGUUCCAGUGUGAUGUCUGAGUAACUGCAGUAUGAAUAAUUCUGUGCUUUCCUUUGUGUUUUCCAUGGUGGUCCAGUAAGUGUGGGUUAUUUUCUAAGUGACAAGAGUCUGAUUCUGAUCUCACUAAGCUACAGCAUCACUGAUUUCAAAUAGUGAAACUAGAAGAUGAAUUCUUCUCUUGAGCCUGUCUGUCCUUCAUCACAGAUAGAAGAGGUAAGCAUGUUGCCAGGUACUGUCUGCCCUUUAGGUCUGCAGUCUGAGUGUGCUUACCAUCUUACAGACAUCUUGUGGCUUCAGGGCUGACCUCUAACGUGAAAUGAAAAGCCAGAAGAAGAAAAAUUAAGCACUGAGACUGAAUUAUAUGCAGAGAAUUGACACAAGAUGAAUCAGUACACAAUGUGGUCUGCAUUUAUAUGAAAAACUCCUCAUACAAAUACUUCUGCAUUAAGCAUAAUCUUGUCUCAGACUUGACCAACUAAGCAAAGGAAAGAACAUAUCACUUUGCACUGCAAAUUAAAGUUCAGAAUAUCAUGGAAGCCAAAAGAACCUAAAGGUUUAAUUGAAUGAGUAUCAGUCAAUGGGUAGGCCAUUGUUAGGGCAGCACAACCCUUGCUAGGUUGCUAGAUAUAUAGAUUAAAAAUGUUGUGUUAAUUGUAAUAAAAAAACCUACAGAGAAAAUUGGAUAGUCACUAAGUGUUACAAAUAAAAAAAAAAAAAAAGGCAAGAAAAGUUACAAGACAGGCUGUAGCUCUGAGCACAGUAGGAAUAAAAACAUUAGUUUCUCCCUGGGAUCAGGCGAAUGUUUGGCUUAGGAGUCACAUUCCAAAAUGAAGCAAAAGCUUAAAUGGUAGCUGAUAUAGUUAAUCUUAAAGAAAAAUUGUUUUUUGCAACAUUACAUGGGAGAACAUAGUCAUGAAGUUGUCUGCAAAGAAUAAUGUUUAACUAGAACUGUCUAAUAGAAAAGGAUUAAUGGAAAUAACCAUCUCAUAUCAAAAACACCCAUGCAAUAGGUGGCUUCCAUGUUCAAAAUGAGAAAAAAAAGUAAAAACUUUAGAACACAGUGAUGUUUAACACACAAUUUGCUGCUGGUGGUGUAAUGACUCAACACUCCAUAACAGUCUAUUUUUUAUCUAUGUAUCCAUUCAUUUGGUUAUUUUAAAGAUAUAUGUAUAUAUCUUUUAUAUAUAUAUAUGUAUGUAUCUAAUAUAAUUCAUGACUAUCUUUUAAUUUAUUAUUCAAGCCUCUCUUAUUAUUGAGAUUCUUUACUUCACAAUUCUGUUAAAACAAAUCCCUAAUCUCCCUGGUUGCACUCUUUGGACUUCUCUCACUCUAUCUGGGAAUUUCCAGGAACAGCAUUUUCCCCUCCCUGCAACACAGUGUGUCUUGAUUUCUUCCACAGGUGGGAAAAGACAAGGCUGUUUUCCAGUCCAGUAGAGCCACUCCUGGUGACUGGAACUGCAUUUGAGAGAUUCUUUUCAUGUGCUGCUUAUAAAAUGAAAAGGAUCCACGUACUCAGCAGUGCAAUUUUAUAAUCAUCUGAUCACUUAAAUAAGCAAUUUUUUUAAACGUUACCAUUUGCAUUUAGUAGAAAAUUCCAAUAUAUGAUAAAAUGUCUCAUAUAAUCCAUGCCUAUGAAAGAUGUGAACCAUUAUAAAGAACAGAGAAUGAAUGAACUUCUCUCUUUGUACUUGGCUAAUUGGAAAUAUGAGUCUACUCAACACAUGUGGAGAUUCACUGAGUCAUGGUCAAAACCAGCUAAAGGUAUUGCUUGGGAUCCAUCAUUAGGUAGAGCUGUGAUGCAAAAAGUUAGUGGGAAAAAAAAUAUAUAUUAAAAAAAGAGAGAAAAAUGGCCAGUAAAAGGGAGCAGAAGCAAAUACAUAAUCCAGGUUCAUUUUGAAUAAGCCUGAAGCUAACAUAUUGAGAAGAAACUAUGUUAAAGUGUGUUGCUGUACCUAUGUUUGGUGUCACAUGAAAAGAAAGCAAGUUCAAUUUUGGGUAGAAAGACACCUGGCAAGAGAGAAACCUGGCUGCAUUCAUUGCAUGUGUAAUCUCAGUUAAGUUGUAACAGUUCUAGAUAAGUUAAUCAGAUGGAUUUCCAGAAACAUGCAUUGGUAAAAGCAGAGUUAUUAAAGAUCAGUGGCUUUUGCCAUAGUCCAAAGGAUAUGUGUAAAACAUAUGUACUGUAUGUAAACCAGGGAGAGGGAAAAUACAGCAAAACACUCCAUUCUGCAGAAUAAACCAGUAGCCAGUACUAAAUAAAUAUUUUGCAUUCUUCACAUAUCAAUAAAAAUUCCACCCCCCUUUCCUGUUAUUCCCAAGCUAUGCAUAUAAUACAGUGGUUAUUACAAAGCAUGGUCAUCAGAAAUGAAAAGCCAUCCACUGUCAUAUACAGAGCACUAGAUAUAUUUUUGUGUGGUUUACCAGUUCUAGGAGGAAUACUAAAAGUGAAAAGUUAAAUUAAAGUAUCCCUGACCAUGGCAGACUUUUGGAACUAGAUGAUCCUUAAGGUCCUUUCCAGCACAAACCAUGCUACGGUUUUCUAGUUAUCUAUCCAUUUAACUUGAAAACAUGGAAGUGCUUUUAAACAUUGUCUAGUAUUGAUAUGUAUUUUUAUGUAUGAUAUACCCCAAUAAAAAGAGUCCAGGAAGAGCAACCAUGUCAUGCAGGCAGGGACUGUUACAUGUACCAUGCAGACAAAGAGCAUUCCACACAAGGAAAUGACCUUACCCAGCAAAUUCUCCACCCUGGGCUUGUGCCUGGCCUGCAAUUGCAUCCAUGAUAGCAUCCUGGGAAUACAUGCUGAUCGGGGUGUUAUACUGGGCGUGAAUUAUAGUAGCCUUGCCGCCAAGGCCCUUCACCUCAAUGGGUUUGUGUGUAGACAGGGCAGAGUCCUUCAGGACAUUGGGGUUGAAACGCUCCGUGAACUCCGGGCUGG